rnacentral:rRNA from 1 species
UAAUACGGAGGGUGCAAGCGUUAUCCGGAAUUACUGGGUUUAAAGGGUGCGUAGGCGGUGAGAUAAGUCAGUUGUGAAAUUCCAUGGCUUAACCAUAGGGACUGCGAUUGAUACUGUUUCACUUGAAUCAGGUUGAGGUGAGCGGAAUGUGGCAUGUAGCGGUGAAAUGCAUAGAUAUGCCAUAGAACACCGAUUGCGAAGGCAGCUUGCUGGACCUGUAUUGACGCUGAGGCACGAAAGCGUGGGGAGCAAACAGGAUUAGAUACCCUGGUAGUCCACGCCCUAAACGAUGUUUACUUGCUGUUCGGCCUUCGGGUUGAGUGGCGAAGCGAAAGCGAUAAGUAAACCACCUGGGGAGUACGCCCGCAAGGGUG